rnacentral:rRNA from 1 species
CCCUUAGAUGUUCUGGGCCGCACGCGCGCUACACUGACUGGUGCAACAAGUGUCUGACCUUGGCUCGAGAGGCCUGGGCAACCUUUGAACGCCAGUCGUGCUUGGGAUAGACCUUUGCAACUAUUAAUCUUCAACGAGGAAUACCUAGUAGGCGUGUGUCAUCAGCGCACGUCGAUUACGUCCCUGCCCUUUGUACACACCGCCCGUCGCUCCUACCGAUUGAAUGGUCCGGUGAAAUCUUCGGAUCUGAGAGAUGUCUGAUUAAUUUCGGACGCCUUUUGGAAAAGUUGCUUAAACCUUACCAUUUAGAGGAAGGUGAANUCGUANCA